AUUGAACGCUGGCGGCAGGCCUAACACAUGCAAGUCGAACGGUAACAGGAAGAAGCUUGCUUCUUUGCUGACGAGUGGCGGACGGGUGAGUAAUGUCUGGGAAACUGCCUGAUGGAGGGGGAUAACUACUGGAAACGGUAGCUAAUACCGCAUAACGUCGCAAGACCAAAGAGGGGGACCUUCGGGCCUCUUGCCAUCGGAUGUGCCCAGAUGGGAUUCGCUAGUAGGUGGGGUAACGGCUCACCUAGGCGACGAUCCCUAGCUGGUCUGAGAGGAUGACCAGCCACACUGGAACUGAGACACGGGCCAGACUCCUACGGGAGGCAGCAGUGGGGAAUAUUGCACAAUGGGCGCAAGCCUGAUGCAGCCAUGCCGCGUGUAUGAAGAAGGCCUUCGGGUUGUAAAGUACUUUCAGCGGGGAGGAAGGGAGUAAAGUUAAUACCUUGGCUCAUUGACGUUACCCGCAGAAGAAGCACCGGCUAACUCCGUG
rnacentral:rRNA from 1 species